UACGUAGGGUGCAAGCGUUAAUCGGAAUUACUGGGCGUAAAGCGUGCGCAGGCGGUCGUUCAAGUCGAGUGUGAAAGCCCCCGGCUCAACUGGGGAGGGUCAUUCGAUACUGAUCGACUCGAAGGCAGGAGAGGGUAGUGGAAUUCCCGGUGUAGUGGUGAAAUGCGUAGAUAUCGGGAGGAACACCAGUGGCGAAGGCGACUACCUGGCCUGUUCUUGACGCUGAGGCGCGAAAGCUAGGGGAGCAAACGGG
rnacentral:rRNA from 1 species